rnacentral:rRNA from 1 species
UACAGAGGGGGCAAGCGUUAUUCGGAAUUAUUGGGCGUAAAGGGCGCGUAGGCGGCCUGGCAAGUGGAAGGUGAAAUCCCUCGGCUUAACCGAGGAACUGCCCUCCAAACUGCUUGGCUUGAGUCCGGGAGAGGUGAGUGGAAUUCCCAGUGUAGCGGUGAAAUGCGUAGAUAUUGGGAGGAACACCUGUGGCGAAAGCGGCGCACUGGACCAUAACUGACGCUGAUGCGCGAAAGCUAGGGGAGCAAACAGG